ACCCCGGCCCUUUUAAGGGCCAAACAAAUCCUCCCAAAAGAACUUAU
rfam:Branchiostoma floridae genomic scaffold BRAFLscaffold_174, whole genome shotgun sequence.